GGCAGACUGGUCACUUCUCCCCUCCACGUACAUUUUACUGGUGGUGUUGUUUUAAAGAAAAUUUAUUCUGUCUUAUACAGUGAUGUCCCCAGGGCAUGGUUUGGGAAACUUGGCUGCGGUCAGUAGGAAGCCCAGGAGAGAAAGCAGAGACAUGGGAAGAGCUCAGACUCAGGAGUCACCAGACCUGGGCUCAAGUCCCAGCUUCACUGUUUCCCAGACUGUAGCCCGCCAGUCUCCUCUGUCCAUGGGAUUCUCCAGGCAAGAAUACUGGAAUGUGUAGCCAUUCCCUUCUCCAGUGGAUCUUCCUAACCCAGGAAACGAACCCAGGUCUCCCACACUGUGGGCAGAUUCUUAACCAUCUGAGCUUCUUGCUGCUGCUGCUGCUAAGUCAUUUCAGUCGUGUCCGACUCUGUGCGACCCCAUGGACUGCAGCUUACCAGGCUCCUCCAUCCAUGGGAUAUUCCAGGGGAAGAAACGGAAGCUUAGCAAGGUGAAGGGGCAGAUGCGGGAGGAAAUCCCCCUCCGGAGUCCUGCUCUUAUCCAUGAGGACAUAUGUGUCCCUUCUGGAUGUUCUUGAAGCAAUGCCACAGUCAGGAGGAAGUUUUCCAGACUCCGCAGGAAGAAGACAGAGACCGGCAAUUCCGAAAGGAAGAGCAUCUGAAGAGUCCCAGGUCCCCAC
ensembl:lncRNA